CCCGCACAAGCGGUGGAGCAUGUGGUUUAAUUCGAUGCAACGCGAAGAACCUUACCUGGUCUUGACAUCCACGGAAGACUGCAGAGAUGCGGUUGUGCCUUCGGGAACCGUGAGACAGGUGCUGCAUGGCUGUCGUCAGCUCGUGUUGUGAAAUGUUGGGUUAAGUCCCGCAACGAGCGCAACCCUUAUCCUUUGUUGCCAGCGGUCCGGCCGGGAACUCAAAGGAGACUGCCAGUGAUAAACUGGAGGAAGGUGGGGAUGACGUCAAGUCAUCAUGGCCCUUACGACCAGGGCUACACACGUGCUACAAUGGCAUAUACAAAGAGAAGCGACCUCGCGAGAGCAAGCGGACCUCAUAAAGUAUGUCGUAGUCCGGAUUGGAGUCUGCAACUCGACUCCAUGAAGUCGGAAUCGCUAGUAAUCGUGGAUCAGAAUGCCACGGUGAAUACGUUCCCGGGCCUU
rnacentral:rRNA from 1 species